rnacentral:rRNA from 1 species
AUUGAACGCUGGCGGCAUGCUUUACACAUGCAAGUCGAACGGUAACAGGCCGCAAGGUGCUGACGAGUGGCGAACGGGUGAGUAAUGCAUCGGAACGUGCCCAGUCGUGGGGGACAACGCAGCGAAAGCUGUGCUAAUACCGCAUACGAUCUAUGGAUGAAAGCGGGGGACCGUAAGGCCUCGCGCAAUUGGAGCGGCCGAUGGCAGAUUAGGUAGUUGGUGGGGUAAAGGCCCACCAAGCCAACGAUCUGUAGCUGGUCUGAGAGGACGACCAGCCACACUGGGACUGAGACACGGCCCAGACUCCUACGGGAGGCAGCAGUGGGGAAUUUUGGACAAUGGGCGCAAGCCUGAUCCAGCAAUGCCGCGUGCAGGAAGAAGGCCUUCGGGUUGUAAACUGCUUUUGUCCGGAAAGAAAUGGCUCUGGUUAAUACCUGGGGUCGAUGACGGUACCGGAAGAAUAAGGACCGGCUAACUACGUGCCAGCCGCCGCCGUAAAAC